rnacentral:rRNA from 1 species
GAUGAACGCUGGCGGCGUGCCUAAUACAUGCAAGUCGAGCGAACAGACGAGGCACUUGCUCCUCUGACGUUAGCGGCGGACGGGGGAGUAAAACGUGGAUAACCUACCUAUAAGACUGGGAUAAAUUCGGGAAACCGGAGCUAAUACCGGAUAAUAUAUUGAACCGCAUGGUUCAAUAGUGAAAGACGGUUUUGCUGUCACUUAUAGAUGGAUCCGCGCCGCAUUAGCUAGUUGGUAAGGUAACGGCUUACCAAGGCAACGAUGCGUAGCCGACCUGAGAGGGUGAUCAGCCACACUGGAACUGAGACACGGUCCAGACUCCUACGGGAGGCAGCAGUAGGGAAUCUUCCGCAAUGGGCGAAAGCCUGACGGAGCAACGCCGCGUGAAUGAUGAAGGUCUUCGGAUCGUAAAACUCUGUUAUUGGGGAAGAACAAAUGUGUAAGUAACUAUGCACGUCUUGACGGUACCUAAUCAGAAAGCCACGGCUAACUACGUG